rnacentral:rRNA from 1 species
UUGUCUUCUAAAUAAAGACUAGUAUGAACGGCUAAAUGAGGACAAAACUGUCUCUUAUGACUAAUCAGUGAAACUGAUCUACCAGUACAAAAGCUGGUAUUACUACAUAAGACGAGAAGACCCUGUGGAGCUUAAAACAAACCACUACCCCCAUAAGACCCCCUAGUGUACUGUUUUAAGUUGGGGCGACUUCGGAACAAAACAAAACUUCCGAGCAUAGAUCCACCAGAUCAAACCAAGGCCUACAAGCCAAAAUAAAAACUGACCCGGCCCAAGCCGAUCAACGAACCAAGUUACCCCAGGGAUAACAGCGCUAUCUUCUUCAAGAGUCCAUAUCGACAAGAAGGUUUACGACCUCGAUGUUGGAUCAGGACACCCAAGUGGUGCAGCCGCUACUAAAGGUUCGUUUGUUCAACGAUU